AAAUAAAAAAAACACACAUGCAUGUUACCUCUGUGCUAUCGUAUCUCACUUUGUAAAUACAACUACUGAAAAUAUCGAAGAAAGGCCAAAUAGAAUUCAAAGACAACCGCAUUGAUUAUGUACAGAAUGACAAAAGCGUAUGUUCUUUAUUGAAAAUUGCAUGUUUAAAUGAUCAUUGGUUGCGCGUAUGGAUAAUAGGAAUAUGUAAUUAGAACUGUGCUAUUUUUACUUCAUACGUAAGUCAUACCGGUAGAAACGUUAUAUUUUCAAAACCGAGACAUACAUUAUUAUAUCAUUAGAAUAUUCAAGUAUGGAUGACAGUAAAAAGGGAAACGAAAGUGAAAAGAUCUUAGAUGUCCCUAUGUCCAGUUUAGUAGCGAGUUACUCUCCGCCGAAAAA